rnacentral:rRNA from 1 species
UGGGGAAUAUUGCACAAUGGGCGCAAGCCUGAUGCAGCCAUGCCGCGUGUGUGAAGAAGGCCUUCGGGUUGUAAAGCACUUUCAGCGAGGAGGAAGGUGGUGAACUUAAUACGUUCAUCAAUUGACGUUACUCGCAGAAGAAGCACCGGCUAACUCCGUGCCAGCAGCCGCGGUAAUACGGAAGGUGCAAGCGUUAAUCGGAAUUACUGGGCGUAAAGCGCACGCAGGCGGUUUGUUAAGUCAGAUGUGAAAUCCCCGGGCUCAACCUGGGAACUGCAUUUGAAACUGGCAAGCUAGAGUCUCGUAGAGGGGGGUAGAAUUCCAGGUGUAGCGGUGAAAUGCGUAGAGAUCUGGAGGAAUACCGGUGGCGAAGGCGGCCCCCCGUGACGAAGACUGACGCUCAGGUGCGAAAGCGUGGGGAGCAAACAGGAUUAGAUACCCUGGUAGUCCACGCUGUAAACGAUGUCGAUUUGGAGGUUGUGCCCUUGAGGCGUGGCUUCCGGAGCUAACGCGUUAAAUCGACCGCCUGGGGAGUACGGCCGCAAGGUUAAAACUCAAAUGAAUUGAC